UAAAAAAAUGGCAAGUCGAACGAAAAACAAGCCUAGCUUGCUAAGCUUGUUUUUAGUGGCGCACGGGUGAGUAACACGUGAGUUACCUACCCCCAAGAGUGGGAUAGCCCCGGGAAACUGGGAUUAAUACCGCAUAAUAUCGCAAGAUUAAAGGUGCAAACCGCUUGGGGAUGGGCUCGCGGCCUAUUAGUUAGUUGGUGAGGUAACGGCUCACCAAGGCGAUGACGGGUAGCCGGUCUGAGAGGAUGUCCGGCCACACUGGAACUGAGACACGGUCCAGACACCUACGGGUGGCAGCAGUCGAGAAUCAUUCACAAUGGGGGAAACCCUGACGGUGCGACGCCGCGUGGGGGAGCGAAGGUCUUCGGAUUGUAAACCCCUGUCAAGUGGGAGCAAAUUAGAAAGAUAGUACCACUAGAGGAAGAGACGGCUAACUCUGUGCCAGCAGCCGCGGUAAUACAGAGGUCUCAAGCGUUGUUCGGAACCACUGGGCGUAAAGCGUACGUAGGCGGCUUGGUAAGUCGUGUGUGAAAGGCAGGGGCUCAACCUCUGGACUGCACAUGAUACUGCCAGGCUAGAGUAAUGGAGGGGAAACCGGAAUUCUCGGUGUAGCAGUGAAAUGCGUAGAUAUCGAGAGGAACACUCGUGGCGAAGGCGGGUUUCUGGACAUUAACUGACGCUGAGGUACGAAGGCUAGGGGAGCGAAAGGGAUUAGAUACCCCUGUAGUCCUAGCAGUAAACGGUGCACGCUUGGUGUGCGGGGAUUCGACCCCCUGCGUGCCGGAGCUAACGCGUUAAGCGUGCCGCCUAGGGAGUACGGUCGCAAGAUUAAAACUCAAAGAAAUUGACGGGGACCCGCACAAGCGGUGGAGUAUGUGGCUUAAUUCGAUGCAACGCGAAGAACCUUACCUAGGCUUGACAUGUAAUGAACAACAUGUGAAAGCAUGCGACUCUUUUAGAGGCGUUACACAGGUGCUGCAUGGCCGUCGUCAGCUCGUGUCGUGAGAUGUUUGGUUAAGUCCAGCAACGAGCGCAACCCCUGUUGCCAGUUACCAGCACGUUAUUGGUGGGGGAAUCUGGCGAGACUGCCCAGAUUAACUGGGGAGGAAAGGUGGGGGACACACUCCCGGUCCAUAUGGGCCCUUAUGCCUAGGGGUUGCACCGUACUACAAUGGCCCGAUCAAAAGGGGGUCGAACCCCCCCGGGGGGAGGAAAUCCUAAAAAAUGGGGGCCAUUUUUGAUAGUGUGGUGUCUCC
rnacentral:rRNA from 1 species